AUGUGAAAGUGAGACAUUGACUAUCAAAGCUGAUUAUACCGCUUGCUUUCCUCUCCUCCUGCUGUACGUGUGUUCCUUUUGAAGCUUCAUGCUUGAUGGAAGAAGAUGACCUUUUCUGAAGAGGGACAGAUCAAUCUCUGGUGGAGGGCAUAUGAGCUGUAUUCUCCUGCAAGAACCUCCGAAGAAGUUCUCAAGAGAACAAUCUAUGUUCUAUUAGCGAUUCAUAGUCAGUUGAUAGGUAACAUUUUUCUCUAAGGUCUGGGGAGAUUUCUUCUUUAAA
ensembl:misc_RNA 7SK 7SK RNA